CAAGUCAGAUGUGAAAGCCUUCUGUUCAACGGAAGAAUUGCAUCUGAAACUGCUAAUCUUGAGUAUAGGAGGGGAGAAUGGAACUUCAGGUGGAGCGGUGAAAUGCGUAGAUAUCAGAAGGAACGCCGGCGGCGAAAGCGAUUCUCUGGCCUAUUACUGACACUCAGUGUGCGAAAGCUAGGGGAGCAAACGGGAUUAGAUACCCCGGUAGUCCUAGCCGUAAACGAUGGGCACUAAGUAGAGGGAAUUACCUAUAUUCUCUCUGCCGUAGCUAACGCAUUAAGUGCCCCGCCUGGGGAGUACGGCCGCAAGGCUAAAACUCAAAAGAAUUGGCGGGGGCUCGCACAAGCGGUGGAGCAUGUGGCUUAAUUCGAUGCAACGCGAAAAACCUUACCGGGGCCUGACAUGAUAGAAGUAGGAACCUGAAAGGGGGACGAACGGUAUCCAGUCCGUAACUAUCACAGGUGUUGCAUGGCUGUCGUCAGCUCGUGUCGUGGGACGUUGGGUUAAGUCCCCUAACGAGCGAAACCCUUGUUUUUAGUUGCCAGCGGGUUAUGCCGGGUACUCUAGAAAGACUGCCGUCGUCAAGACGGAGGAAGGUGGGGAUGACGUCAAGUCAUCAUGGCCCUUAUGCCCCGGGCUGCACACGUGCUACAAUGGUCGGUACAGACGGAAGCGAAG
rnacentral:rRNA from 1 species